rnacentral:SRP_RNA from 1 species
AGCCGGGUCCCGUGCAACGUCAUGCCGCCAACUCCGUCAGGCCCGGAAGGGAGCAGCGGUAACGGUAAUGACGUGUGCCGCGGGAGUGCCUGGCUGUC